UAUUCUUCUAGUAUAACCAAUACAACUGACUUCAAAUCAGCUAAUCUCAGUAUAAGUCUGAGGAAAAAUAA
rnacentral:tRNA from 1 species